rnacentral:rRNA from 1 species
AUUGAACGCUGGCGGCAGGCCUAACACAUGCAAGUCGAACGGUAACAGGAAGCAGCUUGCUGCUUCGCUGACGAGUGGCGGACGGGUGAGUAAUGUCUGGGAAGCUGCCUGAUGGAGGGGGAUAACUACUGGAAACGGUAGCUAAUACCGCAUAAUGUCGCAAGACCAAAGAGGGGGACCUUCGGGCCUCUUGCCAUCGGAUGUGCCCAGAUGGGAUUAGCUUGUUGGUGGGGUAACGGCUCACCAAGGCGACGAUCCCUAGCUGGUCUGAGAGGAUGACCAGCCACACUGGAACCGGGACACCGGCCAGACUCCUACGGGGGGCAGCAGGGGGGAAGAUUUGACAAUGGGGGCAAGCCUUAUUGCGCCACACCGGGUGGUAGAAAAAGGCCUUUCGGUUUUAAAGCUACUUUCCGGGGGAAGAAAGGGAGUAAGGUAAAACCCUUUGCUUAUUAAGGUUCCCCAAGAAAAAGCCCCCGCCAACCUCCUU